GGGGGUCCCAGGUUGGGAGGAGAGGCGAGGAGGAGGGAAGGAGCGAUAGGGCUUCGCCGCCCCGGGGCGCUGGUGGCCGCAGGUGGGCUUCAAACUCAGUGCCCUUCAUCACCUGCUUUCCGAGGCCGGAUGGUUGCUUUGUAAUUCCUAGGUAUUUGUAACUUCUUCCCUCUAACAGCCUGAACUAUCCACCCUUUUUUUUUUUUCAUGGAGAUUGGUGGUACGUCAGCAUAAAAAGUUACCUCUCAAGCCGGUGAAGCACUCGAUACCACUCUGGCUGUGCACCCUCCCCCUGGACAGAGUUUAACUGUACUGUUCCAAGAGAGCAUACCUUGCAAAUAGAGCCGGUUUUAACAAAUUAACAUCUCAAUUUGCUGAAAGUUGAGUAAUAAAGUCAGUAAAACAACCAUUUGUUUCUAUAGAAACUAACAUCCUGGCUGAGAUUGUACCAAACUUUGAUUUUCAUUUUUUUUUACUGGAAUUUGCUCCUUUUGCAGCCUCCUCAUUUUCAGGAAAUCAGAAAUUUAGAAAACCGGCUUGGAAAUUUUUAGCAUGUGAGGCAUGCUGUCAAUCACAUAAUAAUGGUACAAAAAAAAAUAAUUCUAUAACUUAGUUCAGUCAGUUAUAACUUAUUUCUGAGGCUGUGUAAUCAUAAACCCUGGAAAUCUCAGUUUGUUCGUCCACUAUCAAAUCUAAGGAAUUUUGCAACUUCCCAUCUGCCAUUCCCAUUUCUUUCCUGGCUCUUCCUCCUGUACAGCCAAAAGGAGCUAAUCCAAGAGUCAGCUGAUGUAACUGCCGCAGCCCAAAGAUUUAGAGAGUUUGUGUAGUUGUUUGGUUUUUUUUUAAAUACAGCUAUCAUUAACAUGAGGAAAUGUGGUAAAGAGAAGAAAUACUCAGUUGAUGUGGUCCGGGUUUCUUAUUCUUAGAUACUGUUUCCCCGUAUGUUCUGUUCUCAAGUGACAGUGAAAUUCAAAUGGAUUUAAAAAUACAAAUAAGUAAUUUAGCUUGUCCUAGAAGGAAAAUCCUAAUGGGUUUCUGGAAGUACCAAAGGCAAGGAAUAGGACUCAUUCUGUUUGGUAGAGACAGUAAGAUUACAGUAGCUGUACUUGUGAAAAUGGGUAGAGCCAUAUUUUACCUUUUUUUUUCCUGUUAGGACAGAGCUAAAAGUUUGUUGUAUUAUUUAGUGCUGCCUUUGAUUGUACCAAAGUUUGUUAGUUUUAUUAUGCUUUUUCUUUCUUGAACAUCAGUCUUUAUGCUUUCCCUGAAAACAUGUAUGUUAUUUAUUGCAGUGAGAGAUUCUUCUAAGGUAUCUUGACCUCAGUCAUUUUAUCAUAAUCACUUGCAUGUUUUAAUAAUCAACUGCAUCUCAAUUUGAUUAUUUUUUUUCCAGACAAAAAAAAAUGAAUAUUUGCCUUUCACAGUCUUUUCCAUUGAGUAGGAAGAUGGGGCACAUGAACUCCUGCAGUGGGUCUUGUUGCGUCCUUGGGAAUACUUUCAGGAGUUUUUGGUAGGGUUUGGGAAGCGCCAUAUAUAUUUGUGUUUGCUCUUGGGAUCAAGAUCUAGUUGUCCAAAGCAUUUACAUUUCCAAAUAACACAACUUGCUCAGUGGAGUUCUCUCAGGGGCCAGGCAUAAGGAAGAGAUUUCCAUUACUCUCUUCCUUCCACCCUUCACACGCAAGCUUUAAAAGUUAAUGGCUUAUGGAAACCUAUUAGAUAAAAGACAGGAAAAGAGCUGGAAAAGCCCAAGGGGGACAUGCGUCUGUUAGGGCUCAGCAGUCUGCUGCUGGCAUUUCCAAGUAAGCCUUUUCUGUAGCUUUAUUUACAUUAUGACUGAACCCCAGUUUUAGCCAUUGCCUAUGGCUGUGCCAAUGCAAACACUCAGCAUAAGCAAAAAUGAAAAAGAAAAAUUAAAAUUGAUUCCACUGGAACUUGUGCUUGGAGCCAGAAUAAACUGGAGUAGUGCAAAUGUCAGCUUUUGUUCACACUAGGAGUUUAUACUGCUGUCUAAAAUGGCAACUAAUCCUAGAAGCGUAGAUGAGAGGACACAAAACCAAGUGUUCAGCUGACGAUGUUGUUAUUCUGACAGGAGUUCGUAACACGGUGGAAGUUCCAGUGCGCUGUCAGAAGUGCCCAUACUUCUCUAACAAGGAUGCAUCUUACUGGUUGACUGUUGAAGUACCAGUGAGUGGUAAGGCAUUGAAUGCCUGUCUUGUCCACCGAUGCAUUUCUUAGAAGAUAAUCAUGCAGUGCGUUCUUCAGUGUCUUAAUAGUGCACACACAGUUUCUCUCUGCCCUGUGUAUUCUCCAGUGACUGAAAAAGGUUAAGCUCUGCUGGGGUCUUCCCCUCAGCUGCGGUACUAACCAGUUCUCCUGCCCCCUCUGUGAUGUUUGGGUCAAUUAAGCUAACAAAGACCUCCGAGACCAGAACCUCGUGUCAGAAUUUGGCCAAAAGAGACUCAGAUGUUCAGAAAUCAAUAUGGAUUUAUUCUGCUGCUCUCAUAAACUAUGAUUUAAAACACGCUGAAGCGCCAGUUCAGCUUAAUAGCCCCUUCUCCUGUACGUCACUGCAAGUAGAAGGCACUGUGCUUUGUAUCUGUCUUCCAAGAUGAGGGAGAGAAGAGCUGAGAGAUACGGGGCUCAGACCGCAAAGACCAACUCACAGGCUGUCAACUGAACUUGGGGUGGGAACCAGAUCCAGACAACAGAUCCCUGAAUUUAGGUGUCUAAUCUCCCACUCCGGUCAGCGGAGACUUCGUCACAACAGUCAAUGGAGCUGGGAGUGUGAGUCAGCUGACGAAACGCCGGUAUCCGUCCUCUGGUGAGCUGAAUCCCUCAUGGCAGUGGGAGGUGGGACACUGAGCUCAUACUGAUGUGUCAACACCUCUGGGUACACAUCUGCAGCCUGGAGGUAAGCCCAGCCCCGACAAGGAUGUACUGAUGACAGGGAUUCAGUCUCCGGCUGCUGGCAUUGUUUCUCCAGCUUAACGAGAGGGGCUGGACACCCCUCGCAAAGGCUGGAGCUGCUGAGCCCUCCGGAUGCUCUGAGCGUGUCGGCCAGCUUCAGCCCCUCUGUGUGGGGCGGAUGAGGACAGACUUUAUACAGGGUAGGCAAAAUGGCACCAGGGAAGAACACCCAAGGCUCUGCAAUAAAGAAACAACAUCGCUCUGUUAAAAUUAUUUUUACAACCUCAAUUGACGAGUUCAGACAAAUAGACUUAACGGAGCCUUUGUAGUAUAUGAAACGUUAAUAUCUACCACUUAUUUUUGAAGCUACAUUUUAGAUUUUAUUUUCAAGACAAAAGAGUCAUUUAAAAUUAUGCAAAUGAGCUGCCAAACGGCAGGCAUUAUGCAGAUUUGUGGAGGCAGGCAGCAGAGUGUUAACCCUCGGUGCUGCGGCUUGCUGCGGAGGGAGGGCUGCCACAGCAGCACCCUGUGAAUUCGUUUCAGCCCUUGCGCUCUCUAAUUACAACACUCCUGUGGCAGGGCCUGGGGUGUGAGGCUAACCUAAAGUGGGUUUAGGUUGAUGGAGGAGGUGUAUUUGCCGCGAUGUUCACCUCGCAGUCCUGCCUGGCACAAGCUGUACCCGAAUCCAGCCUGGGCGUCUCGGAAAAGACAAGCGUUGUGGCUGUCAGCUGCUGUUUCAUACAAGUUGUUUCCAGACUAUUUGAAGUGACUGUCAUGGGAGAAAUAUUAAAUUGCUUUUCAAAUGUCAGCAGUGCAGUAACACUUUAAAAACAAUUGACACUGUCAGCUAGAAGUCAUCCUAGCUCACUGGGCUGGCUGGUGUACACAAGAUACGGUAGCAGCCUUGAGUUUCAGGGGAGGAAGACUAUUAAAAGACCUACAUGUUGUGCUAAUUUGUGGGUUCAAGAGCUCAUUAUGCCACCCAGCUAUAAAGGUGGUGGGAAUACCUCUCAGCCAGGAACAGAUGGGUUUUGAUAGAAAUCCAAGGCCUGGUCUGCUCUGGAAGUUUGCCCUGAUCUCUGCAACCGAUGCCAACAGCUGACAUAGCCGCAUUGGUGCAAACGCUAGUGCUGAGCAAGAAGUCCAAUGGUUUAUAGCAGCAAAGUAUGGCAAAUGGCAGGAGCUGGCAAGUCCCCAGCACGCACAAGGGGGUAUGCCAACGGAGCUCAGCAAGAGUGUAAUAGAUGCAGAGAUCAGAGAAAACAUUGGCCCUGUGUAUUAUAUUUUUUUAAAGACGGAUUUGGAGUUUUCCUACUGCUCAGCAAUUUCAGCGAUGGACUGGUGAUCUGGUUAGUAAAAAACAAUAUAAUGCAAGAAACCCACCUACAUUGGUUUAGGUUUUUGUUGGUUUUGGAAGGCAUAGUUGAAAAGGAUAUAAAUCAGACACUGCUGCUGUACUGCGCUUGCCUUGCCAGCUUAAAAGAACUAAACUAGUUUAAAUAGACAGAAAUACUGUUUUGUGCUGGCCCACAUCUCAAAACAAAUCUGAGCACAAAGACGGUGGAAGGAAGUUGCUAGGAAACCUCACAGUGCGCUGGAGAAGUUUUGCAGCGCAGGCACCUGUAAGAGUCGUCACCACCUGCCAGCCUGGGCAUUUCCCAAAAACCGCCGUGCAAAAUUGUAGCGCACAAUUCAUUUCCGGAAACGAAACAUCAGGAAAUGCCUCACAGCCCAUUUUAAAUCAGUGCAGCUUCAGGGGACUGCAAGCCGUUCCCAGAACCAUCCCGGAAGAUUCGACACGAGGGUCCUGCCUGCACUAGUGCUGAAGCCCUGCCUUCUGUGUUCAGGGAAGGUCUGACCAGGCUGCUUUGUUAGCACAUGUCUGCACUCGUCUUAAUUAGGUUCUUAGGAAAGAUCCUUCCUUCCCUGGGCUCCAACCUUGCCCAUGCUGAGAUUUCAACAAGGUAACCUGAAUGAAGCCAGACUAACCCUCUGGAAGCAGGGCCACCCACUCUCAUCUCUUUUGCACUUAGUGUCCGGGUGGGCUUUGCCAGCAGAGAUUUCCUGCGGACGUGCUGCCACUUCAGGUGGUGUUUCUGCAUGGGGAUGCUCCAGAAAGCUGAGGUCAAUCAACUGAAAGAGUUGCAGGUCCACAGUGUCAACAUGCACAUGGUAAAGACCCCAUUUCUCUACCAAAUAGCCAUAAUUGUUAUAUCUUCAUCCUCUUAACAUUUGGUUUCUUUCCUAUGGCUACUUCAUAGCUGAACACGGCUGUUUCUAGAAGGAAACUGGUAGCUGAACAAUUAGGCAGUCAUCAAGGACAUAUUUUUUCAUUUGUCAUGAAGUCACCUGUCAGUCCAGCUCGUGACUGGGUUGAGACAGGCAAAGACAUCAGGUGUAGCUAGGGUUGCUUGUCUGUGCACUUCCUUGGUAGCUUUUUCCAAAAAUGGGUGAUGUGAGGCUCAGCGGUGGAGUGAUGGCUGCCAUGGGCAUGAUGAGCAGAGCAAGCUGGCCAUGGUUUAAGAGUCUCCAUGAAAUUCCCUAUGUGUGGGAACCCCCAGAUGGUGCAGCACCAGCAAAUUCCUGCCUGCCACCACCCUUCCUCGCUGUGUCUAAAUGCCUGCCCAGAGCAUUCCCCACUCCUCCCUGCCCACCUAUCAAGAUGGCCCAUCAUGGCUAAAAGCCAUUAGCACGCAGAAGAUGGACCCUGGGAUCUCCACUCCUUCGAAGAUAUGCAAUACAUUAGGAGAAACCAGGAAUACGUGUUAAACCUGAGAAAGCUCCUUUGAAGAAAGAUUCAUUUUAAAACAAGGAUUCAUUACACGGCAAGGGAGGCACUCUGGAGAAGAUGUGACGCUGAUAUGCGAUGCUGAUAUGUGAAGUGUGGCUGUUACAGGAUUUUCCAUUCUGCUUUAUCUAGUCCCUUGACACAUUAAAAAAAGGAAAGAUCCAGAUCUUCAGUUUAACUUGACAAAAGCUCUUAGGAAAUCCUUUUUUACACAACAUAUAAUCAACAUAUGGAACCAGCCCUGGAUAUUCCUGACAGGUUUAGACUCGCUCCUCACUCGAUGGUCUAGCAGUGUUCGUUAGCUGUGUCCCCA